rnacentral:rRNA from 1 species
AUGCACGCUGGCGGCGUGCCUAAUACCUGCCAGUCGAGCGAACGGACGAGAAGCUUGCUUUUCUGAUGUUAGCGGCGGACGGGUGAGUAACACGUGGAUAACCUACCUAUAAGACUGGGAUAACUUCGGGAAACCGGAGCUAAUACCGGAUAAUAUUUUGAACCGCAUGGUUCAUAAGUGAAAGACGGUCUUGCUGUCACUUAUAGAUGGAUCCGCGCUGCAUUAGCUAGUUGGUAAGGUAACGGCUUACCAAGGCAACGAUGCAUAGCCGACCUGAGAGGGUGAUCGGCCACACUGGAACUGAGACACGGUCCAGACUCCUACGGGAGGCAGCAGUAGGGAAUCUUCCGCAAUGGGCGAAAGCCUGACGGAGCAACGCCGCGUGAGUGAUGAAGGUCUUCGGAUCGUAAAACUCUGUUAUUAGGGAAGAACAUAUGUGUAAGUAACUGUGCACAUCUUGACGGUACCUAAUCAGAAAGCCACGGCUAACUACGUG